rnacentral:lncRNA from 1 species
AUAACCAUAGAAAUAAAGUCGUUAUUGGGUCCUCACCUAACAGUUAUUGGUGCCCAACCCCACCUUUACCCCGCAACAUCUCAUGUCUAAUAGAGAGGUCCAGUCCUCCGAUGCAACUUGCCCACUAUGUCCAGCCGAGACAAAUCAACACCAAAAAGACCUUAGCAGCUCUACUACGGUGGAAGACCUAUGGACUUAAUAUUACAUAAUCAAGUCUUAGUGUUUGCAACUUGAGUUCUUUAUAAGAGGUAAUAGAACAAUUGGUCAGGUAAGCAGGUGGGAGGCUCCCCUUACUCAGAGAGUAAGGUCCUAAUUAAGUAACCACCUUUUAGGCUUGCCUAGACACCAAUUAGAUCAAUUAAUCUAAUAUGACUAACUCAUGUUGGUUCGCCCU